rnacentral:rRNA from 1 species
GACGAAGGGGGCAAGCGUUGUUCGGAAUUACUGGGCGUAAAGGGCGCGUAGGCGGUCCGAUCAGUCAGGCGUGAAAGCCCUGGGCUUAACCUGGGAGGUGCGCUUGAUACUGUCGGGCUUGAGUGUGGGAGAGGAUGGUGGAAUUCCCAGUGUAGAGGUGAAAUUCGUAGAUAUUGGGAAGAACACCGGUGGCGAAGGCGGCCAUCUGGACCACAACUGACGCUGAGGCGCGAAAGCGUGGGGAGCAAACAGG